UUAGUUGAAAUCAUUGUGGGUCUAUACUUUGAAAAUUGAACUCACACAAAGUGGUAGAACAUACCUUGAUUUCAUCCAA
rnacentral:pre_miRNA from 1 species